rnacentral:rRNA from 1 species
GAUGAACGCUGGCGGCGUGCCUAAUACAUGCAAGUCGAGCGGACAGACGAGGAGCUUGCUCCUCUGACGUUAGCGGCGGACGGGUGAGUAACACGUGGAUAACCUACCUAUAAGACUGGGAUAACUUCGGGAAACCGGAGCUACUACCGGAUAAUAUAUUGAACCGCAUGGAUCAAUAGUGAAAGACGGCUUUGCUGUCACUUAUAGAUGGAUCCGCGCCGCAUUAGCUAGUUGGUAAGGUAACGGCUUACCAAGGCAACGAUGCGUAGCCGACCUGAGAGGGUGAUCGGCCACACUGGAACUGAGACACGGUCCAGACUCCUACGGGAGGCAGCAGUGGGGAAUAUUCCGCAAUGGGCGAAAGCCUGACGGAGCAACGCCGCGUGAGUGAUGAAGGUCUUCGGAUCGUAAAACUCUGUUAUUAGGGAAGAACAAAUGUGUAAGUAACUAUGCACGUCUUGACGGUACCUAAUCAGAAAGCCACGGCUAACUACGUG